GUCUACGGCCACGCCACCCCGAACACGCCUGAUCCCGUCUGAUCUCGGAAGCUAAGCAGGGUCGGGCCUGGUCAGUACUUGGGUGGGAGACCACAUAGGAAGACCAGAUGCUGUAGGUG
rnacentral:rRNA from 1 species